GGGUUGUGAGGUUAAGCGACUAAGCGUACACGGUGGAUGCCCUGGCAGUCAGAGGCGAUGAAGGGCGUGCUAAUCUGCGAUAAGCGCCGGUAAGGUGAUAUGAACCGUUAUAACCGGCGAUACCCGAAUGGGGAAACCCAGUGUGAUUCGUCACACUAUCAUUAACUGAAUCCAUAGGUUAAUGAGGCGAACCGGGGGAACUGAAACAUCUAAGUACCCCGAGGAAAAGAAAUCAACCGAGAUUCCCCCAGUAGCGGCGAGCGAACGGGGAGGAGCCCAGAGCCUGAAUCAGCAUGUGUGUUAGUGGAAGCGUCUGGAAAGGCGCGCGAUACAGGGUGACAGCCCCGUACACAAAAGCGCAUGUGCUGUGAGCUCGAUGAGUAGGGCGGGACACGUGGUAUCCUGUCUGAAUAUGGGGGGACCAUCCUCCAAGGCUAAAUACUCCUGACUGACCGAUAGUGAACCAGUACCGUGAGGGAAAGGCGAAAAGAACCCCGGCGAGGGGAGUGAAAAAGAACCUGAAACCGUGUACGUACAAGCAGUGGGAGCACCCUUUUGGGUGUGACUGCGUACCUUUUGUAUAAUGGGUCAGCGACUUAUAUUCUGUAGCAAGGUUAACCGAAUAGGGGAGCCGGAGGGAAACCGAGUCUUAAUUGGGCGUUAAGUUGCAGGGUAUAGACCCGAAACCCGGUGAUCUAGCCAUGGGCAGGUUGAAGGUUGGGUAACACUAACUGGAGGACCGAACCGACUAAUGUUGAAAAAUUAGCGGAUGACCUGUGGCUGGGGGUGAAAGGCCAAUCAAACCGGGAGAUAGCUGGUUCUCCCCGAAAGCUAUUUAGGUAGCGCCUCGUGAAUUCAUCUCCGGGGGUAGAGCACUGUUUCGGCUAGGGGGCCAUCCCGGCUUACCAACCCGAUGCAAACUGCGAAUACCGGAGAAUGUUAUCACGGGAGACACACGGCGGGUGCUAACGUCCGUCGUGAAGAGGGAAACAACCCAGACCGCCAGCUAAGGUCCCAAAGUCAUGGUUAAGUGGGAAACGAUGUGGGAAGGCACAGACAGCCAGGAUGUUGGCUUAGAAGCAGCCAUCAUUUAAAGAAAGCGUAAUAGCUCACUGGUCGAGUCGGCCUGCGCGGAAGAUGUAACGGGGCUAAACCAUGCACCGAAGCUGCGGCAGCGACGUUUAUGCGUUGUUGGGUAGGGGAGCGUUCUGUAAGCCUGCGAAGGUGGCCUGUGAGGGUUGCUGGAGGUAUCAGAAGUGCGAAUGCUGACAUAAGUAACGAUAAAGCGGGUGAAAAGCCCGCUCGCCGGAAGACCAAGGGUUCCUGUCCAACGUUAAUCGGGGCAGGGUGAGUCGACCCCUAAGGCGAGGCCGAAAGGCGUAGUCGAUGGGAAACGGGUUAAUAUUCCCGUACUUGGUGUUACUGCGAAGGGGGGACGGAGAAGGCUAUGUUGGCCGGGCGACGGUUGUCCCGGUUUAAGCGUGUAGGCUGGUUUUCCAGGCAAAUCCGGAAAAUCAAGGCUGAGGCGUGACGACGAGGCACUACGGUGCUGAAGCAACAAAUGCCCUGCUUCCAGGAAAAGCCUCUAAGCAUCAGGUAACAUCAAAUCGUACCCCAAACCGACACAGGUGGUCAGGUAGAGAAUACCAAGGCGCUUGAGAGAACUCGGGUGAAGGAACUAGGCAAAAUGGUGCCGUAACUUCGGGAGAAGGCACGCUGACACGUAGGUGAAGUGAUUUACUCAUGGAGCUGAAGUCAGUCGAAGAUACCAGCUGGCUGCAACUGUUUAUUAAAAACACAGCACUGUGCAAACACGAAAGUGGACGUAUACGGUGUGACGCCUGCCCGGUGCCGGAAGGUUAAUUGAUGGGGUCAGCGCAAGCGAAGCUCCUGAUCGAAGCCCCGGUAAACGGCGGCCGUAACUAUAACGGUCCUAAGGUAGCGAAAUUCCUUGUCGGGUAAGUUCCGACCUGCACGAAUGGCGUAAUGAUGGCCAGGCUGUCUCCACCCGAGACUCAGUGAAAUUGAACUCGCUGUGAAGAUGCAGUGUACCCGCGGCAAGACGGAAAGACCCCGUGAACCUUUACUAUAGCUUGACACUGAACAUUGAGCCUUGAUGUGUAGGAUAGGUGGGAGGCUUUGAAGUGUGGACGCCAGUCUGCAUGGAGCCGACCUUGAAAUACCACCCUUUAAUGUUUGAUGUUCUAACGUGGACCCGUUACCCGGGUUGCGGACAGUGUCUGGUGGGUAGUUUGACUGGGGCGGUCUCCUCCUAAAGAGUAACGGAGGAGCACGAAGGUUGGCUAAUCCUGGUCGGACAUCAGGAGGUUAGUGCAAUGGCAUAAGCCAGCUUGACUGCGAGCGUGACGGCGCGAGCAGGUGCGAAAGCAGGUCAUAGUGAUCCGGUGGUUCUGAAUGGAAGGGCCAUCGCUCAACGGAUAAAAGGUACUCCGGGGAUAACAGGCUGAUACCGCCCAAGAGUUCAUAUCGACGGCGGUGUUUGGCACCUCGAUGUCGGCUCAUCACAUCCUGGGGCUGAAGUAGGUCCCAAGGGUAUGGCUGUUCGCCAUUUAAAGUGGUACGCGAGCUGGGUUUAGAACGUCGUGAGACAGUUCGGUCCCUAUCUGCCGUGGGCGCUGGAGAACUGAGGGGGGCUGCUCCUAGUACGAGAGGACCGGAGUGGACGCAUCACUGGUGUUCGGGUUGUCAUGCCAAUGGCACUGCCCGGUAGCUAAAUGCGGAAGAGAUAAGUGCUGAAAGCAUCUAAGCACGAAACUUGCCCCGAGAUGAGUUCUCCCUGAGACUUUAGGUCUCCUGAAGGAACGUUGAAGACGACGACGUUGAUAGGCCGGGUGUGUAAGCGCAGCGAUGCGUUGAGCUAACCGGUACUAAUGAACCGUGAGGCUUAACCUUACAACGCCGAAG
rnacentral:rRNA from 22 species